rnacentral:rRNA from 1 species
AACGAACGCUGGCGGCAGGCUUAACACAUGCAAGUCGAACGGGUGUAGCAAUACAUCAGUGGCAGACGGGUGAGUAACACGUGGGAACCUUCCUAGAGGUACGGAACAACUCAGGGAAACUUGAGCUAAUACCGUAUACGCUCGUGAGAGGAAAGAUUUAUCGCCUUUAGACGGGCCCGCGUCGGAUUAGGUAGUUGGUGGGGUAACGGCCUACCAAGCCUACGAUCCGUAGCUGAUCUGAGAGGAUGAUCAGCCACACUGGGACUGAGACACGGCCCAGACUCCUACGGGAGGCAGCAGUGGGGAAUCUUGGACAAUGGGCGCAAGCCUGAUCCAGCCAUGCCGCGUGAGUGAAGAAGGCCUUAGGGUUGUAAAGCUCUUUUACCAGGGACGAUAAUGACGGUACCUGCAGAAGAAGCCCCGGCUAACUUCGUGCCAGCCGCCGCGGUAACAC